ACCACACCAGAUACAUUCAGUCGUCCUACAGGUGUUUCCAGAAACUUGACCGCAGAGCCCCCUUGAACUAUCUGAGCAUAAGGGCAGCGGGUCAGGUCAGCGAAGAUACAAAAGGAACAAACUGUGUCUCCUGGACCGAAGGGGCGUCAGGAGUCCUGCAGAGAGGAGGGUUUGGCUUUCUGGGGAUCAAGUCCCAGUGCCCGCGAGAACUUCGGGGUUUGGCUGCUGUGCCAGGGGUUCGGGGAGAGCUGCCGAAGCUCCGCCUCACAGGGCGGCCCCCUUCUGCCGGCUCCGAUCUUGGAACAGUGUUGAGGGUCUUUCUACGACCCCGCAGACAGCCUGCGUAUUGGAGCUAACCUCUCUGGAGAGAGGGUUCUCCCGAGGCGCCCUGUGUGGGAGGGGACGACCCACGCCCCCACGAAGCUUCCGCGCCGACGUCCAGAAAGGCCCCAGUGUCCCCGAUGCCUGUCCGGGCGCCUGCGGCACUUACACGCUCGUGGGUCCUCCGCUGGGCAGAAACGAAACUUUCUAGGGCCGAGCGGAAGAGUAGGCGAGCACAGAGCCGACUGCCAUGAAGCGCCCAGUAGCCCCAGAGCGCGCGCGGACUACAACUCCCGGCAUGCCUCACGGAUGGCCUACAACUCCCGGCAUGCUUCACGGAUGGCCUACAACUCCCGGCAUGCUUCACGGAUGGCCUACAACUCCCGGCAUGCUUCACGGAUGGCCUACAACUCCCGGCAUGCUUCACGGAUGGCCUACAACUCCCAUCGGGUGCAACUGGACGGUGGACGCUAACUACGACUCCCGGCAUGUCUCACGGCAGACGUCACUUCCUGAAACUCGAACAAGCUUCGGAUACCCGGAAGUCGUGUGUAGAAUCCUGAACGAGUGCUGUUUACUGUUGUUAAGCUCAUGCAUUGUGACCGAUUGGCUUUGAACUGUGCAUGAGCUGUAAAUAUAAAAUAAUGUGCCCGAUUCCGAAACCCCCCAAACAAUCUGAGAAUAAUCUCAUUAGUAUUUUUGUACUAUUACGUUUUAUUUAUGAAGCUAAAAAAAAAUGAACUUAGUAUGUACUGCUGGACCUAAGUUCUCAGUUUUUGUUUCCCCCUCAUUAACAGACACUUAAAAAACAGUGUUUGAAAAUAUGUGCUAAAGAACUACCAUGCUUAGCUUCCUCAGUCCCGUGUUUGCUUGUUGCUGAGUUGCAAAGCACCCUGAAGCCUGGUGCAAUAGAACACUGCAUUCCAAGUCCAGUAUGGAUGAACAUGCUAAAGACAGGGGACAGUACAUAGGAAUGUCAGCCCAUGAUUAGGUUCGCUUCUUAGCUCUGGCUGGCUCCUCACACUGCCUUAUUUUCAUCAUGUUAGCUAGAAAUGCUUGUGUACCUUACAGGACUUAGCUAAUAGUGGCAUCUGCCAGACUUCAGCAUUCCAGGUUCUCAGGAUAAAUUCAUACAGGAAGGAAAAGAAAUCUUUUAAGUUAAUUUCAUAUUUUAUACUGGAGGUAUAUGAGACAACAUAUUAACUUGAUGGAGUUGUCAGUUUGUGGAUGAGGAUAAAAAAAACCUCACGAAGAGAAAUGAUUCCCCUUUCUGUUAACAAAGGAAAACAAAAAAAAGGGAAGAAGUGGGAGGAAAUGACAUCAGAAAUAAAGAUUUAUCAAUAGAGUGAACUAAGAAAAACUUGCUCUGACUACAGCCUGAACAGCUUUGGGAUGUUAAGAUUGAGAGUGUGAGGCAUGUGGAAGACAACCUUGUGAAGGAAUAUGUGGGGUGGAGAGCACUGUGCCACAGAGUCCUGAUCUGCUGUACAUGGUGUCAGAUCUAAGAUGGCUCCCGGGACACCAGUGAGACAGCAAAAAGGAACUAAGGUCAAGACAGUGGCUGCUUCUGAGUCUUCACAAAAGUCCCUACAGGUGACAAUGCUCGCCACACCCCUUCUCUCUGAGUUACCUCAUCAGUCACAGCUUUUAUUGGGAUAUGGUGAGAUGUAGUAAGUUAUGCUUGGCCAAGGAUUUAGGGGCUUGGGAUUGGCUCAAAUACUGUAUAUAAGCUUAUGUGCUUGGCAAUAAAUGCAGAUCUGCACACUGAUACUGA
rnacentral:lncRNA from 1 species